rnacentral:rRNA from 1 species
CCCUUAGAUGUUCUGGGCCGCACGCGCGCUACACUGACAGAGCCAGCGAGUUCUUUUUCCUUGGCUGAAAAGUCAUGGGUAAUCUUGUGAAACUCUGUCGUGCUGGGGAUAGAGCAUUGCAAUUAUUGCUCUUCAACGAGGAAUUCCUAGUAAGCGUAAGUCAUCAGCUUGCGUUGAUUACGUCCCUGCCCUUUGUACACACCGCCCGUCGCUACUACCGAUUGGGAAAAUUUUAGAGAGUCCUGGACUGAUGAUUGUUCGGCUUCACGGCCUUACUUUCGUCGGGAAAGAAUUCGAUAAUAUUUUUCUAGAGGAAGUAAAAGUCGUAACA